rnacentral:rRNA from 1 species
UACGAAGGGGGCUAGCGUUGCUCGGAAUUACUGGGCGUAAAGGGCGCGUAGGCGGCACUGUUAGUCAGGCGUGAAAGUCCUGGGCUCAACCUGGGAACUGCGCCUUGAUACGGCAGAGCUAGAGGAUGGAAGAGGCUCGCGGAAUUCCCAGUGUAGAGGUGAAAUCGUAGAUAUUGGGAAGAACACCGGUGGCGAAGGCGGCGAGCUGGUCCAUUACUGACGCGAGGCGCCGACGCGUGGGGAGCAAACAGG